rnacentral:lncRNA from 1 species
UUUGGGUCUGAGGUGUAUGUGAGACGUCCAUUACCUCGAGCCUGGUAUUGGUGCGGUAUUCCGCAGUUGAUUGACUCGAGACCGAGUCGAGUGGUUAGCUUCGCUAGGGUAGAGGAAAACCUUAGGAGCAAGUAACCAAUGAUUGUAAAGUGACAAGAUGUAUAAAAUUAUGGAAAAGCUAUGAAUAGCAUGAUAGAAAGUAAAAUCCUUCAUUCUACUUGUAUAGUUGCAUGAUUCGCAUAUAGCAUGG